rnacentral:rRNA from 1 species
AGGCUGCAACUCGCCUACAUGAAGUCGGAAUCGCUAGUAAUCGCGGAUCAGCAUGCCGCGGUGAAUACGUUCCCGGGCCUUGUACACACCGCCCGUCACACCAUGAGAGUUUGUAACACCCAAAGCCGGUGGGGUAACCUUUUGGAGCCAGCCGUCUAAGGUGGGACAGAUGAUUGGGUGAAGUCGUAACAAGGUACC